rfam:Triticum urartu cultivar G1812 contig621655, whole genome shotgun sequence.
CUACUACUCCCUUCGUGAGAAAAUACUUGUCAUCAAAAUUGAUAAAAAGAGAUAUAUCUAGAACUAAAAUACGUCUAGAUACAUCUCCUUUUAUCCAUUUUGAUGACAAGUAUUUCCAGACGAAGGAAGUAUUAA